rnacentral:tRNA from 1 species
GCACGGUUAGCUCAGUUGGAUAGAGCGUUGGCCUCCGAAGCCAAAGGUCAUUGGUUCGAAUCCAAUACCGUGUACCA